GACGUAGGGGGCCAGCGUUGUUCGGAAUUACUGGGUGUAAAGGGUUCGUAGGCGGUGCGGCAAGUUGGGAGUGAAAUCUCUGGGCUUAACCCAGAGGCUGCUUCCAAAACUGCUGUGCUUGAGUGUGGGAGAGGCGCGUGGAAUUGCAGGUGUAGCGGUGAAAUGCGUAGAUAUCUGCAGGAACACCCGUGGCGAAAGCGGCGCGCUGGACUACUACUGACGCUGAGGAACGAAAGCUAGGGGAGCAAACAGG
rnacentral:rRNA from 1 species